CUAUAUUAACUGCAAUAAAUACACUGUGUACUAUUUUAACUGCAAUAAAUGCACCAUGUACUACAUUGACUGCAAUAAAUGCACCGUGUACUAUAUUAACUGCAAUAAAUAACUAUGUGCUAUAUUAACUGCAAUUAUUACACUGUAUACUAAAUUACCUGCAAUAAAUGCACUGUGUGCUAUAACUGCAAUAAAUGCACCGUGUACUAUAGUAACUGCAAUAAAUGCCCUGUAUACUAUAUUACCUGCAAUAAAUAACUAUGUGCUAUAUUAACUGCAAUUAUUACACUGUAUACUAUAUUACUUGCAAUAAAUGCAUUGUGUACUAUAUUAUCUGCAAUUAAUA